rnacentral:rRNA from 1 species
CUAUGACGGGUAUCCGGCCUGAGAGGGUGAGCGGACACACUGGAACUGAGACACGGUCCAGACUCCUACGGGAGGCAGCAGUAGGGAAUAUUGCUCAAUGGGGGAAACCCUGAAGCAGCAACGCCGCGUGGAGGAUGAAGGUUUUAGGAUCGUAAACUCCUUUUGUUAGAGAAGAUAAUGACGGUAUCUAACGAAUAAGCACCGGCUAACUCCGUGCCAGCAGCCGCGGUAAUACGGAGGGUGCAAGCGUUACUCGGAAUCACUGGGCGUAAAGAGUGCGUAGGCGGGAGGACAAGUCAGGUGUGAAAUCCUAUGGCUUAACCAUAGAACUGCAUUUGAAACUAUCCUUCUGGAGUGUGGGAGAGGUAGGUGGAA